GUUUGAUCCUGGCUCAGGAUGAACGCUAGCGGCAGGCUUAAUACAUGCAAGUCGAGGGGCAGCAGGCUGUAGCAAUACAGUGCUGGCGACCGGCAAACGGGUGCGGAACACGUACGCAACCUUCCUUUAAGUGAGGAAUAGCCCAGGGAAACUUGGAUUAAUACCUCGUAAUAUUAAGUAGUGGCAUCACUGUUUAAUUAUAGCUCCGGCGCUUAAAGAUGGGCGUGCGCCUGAUUAGGUAGUUGGCGGGGUAACGGCCCACCAAGCCUGCGAUCAGUAACUGGUGUGAGAGCACGACCAGUCACACGGGCACUGAGACACGGGCCCGACUCCUACGGGAGGCAGCAGUAAGGAAUAUUGGGCAAUGGACGCAAGUCUGACCCAGCCAUGCCGCGUGGAGGAUGAAGGUCCUCUGGAUUGUAAACCUCUUUUAUUUGGGAAGAAAUGCCGAUUUUCUAAUUGGUUUGGCGGUACCAGAUGAAUAAGCACGGGCUAACUCCGUGCCAGCAGCCGCGGUAAUACGGAGGGUGCAAGCGUUAUCCGGAUUCACUGGGUUUAAAGGGUGCGUAGGCGGGCAUGUAAGUCAGUGGUGAAAUCCCCGAGCUUAACUUGGGAACUGCCGUUGAUACUAUGUGUCUUGAAUAUCGUGGAGGUAAGCGGAAUAUGUCAUGUAGCGGUGAAAUGCUUAGAUAUGACAUAGAACACCGAUUGCGAAGGCAGCUUACUACACGAUCAUUGACGCUGAGGCACGAAAGCGUGGGGAGCAAACAGGAUUAGAUACCCUGGUAGUCCACGCCCUAAACUAUGGAUACUCGACAUACGCGAUACACUGUGUGUGUCUGAGCGAAAGCAUUAAGUAUCCCACCUGGGAAGUACGACCGCAAGGUUGAAACUCAAAGGAAUUGACGG
rnacentral:rRNA from 1 species